UACGUAGGGUGCGAGCGUUGUCCGGAAUUACUGGGCGUAAAGAGCUCGUAGGUGGUUUGUCGCGUUGUUCGUGAAAACCGGGGGCUUAACCCUCGGCGUGCGGGCGAUACGGGCAGACUUGAGUACUGCAGGGGAGACUGGAAUUCCUGGUGUAGCGGUGGAAUGCGCAGAUAUCAGGAGGAACACCGGUGGCGAAGGCGGGUCUCUGGGCAGUAACUGACGCUGGGGAGCGAAAGCGUGGGGAGCGAACAGG
rnacentral:rRNA from 1 species